rnacentral:ribozyme from 2 species
UUUUUAAUUCCGCCUGUAGCUCCUACGGGGGUUACUGCCGGUCGCAAGCCCGGAUAAAGGAGGAGGGUUGG